UUCUUAGCUUCAGAGGGAACUGGGACUCUAUGUGCUCAGCCCCCUGAUUUCAUCAAGUGCAGCUUUGUAGCUCUCUGAGCUAUGGGGUCUCUAGGCUGGAACCCGAGCUGGGGAGGCAGGACACAGAUGCUCUAGCCCGGGCCCCAGGGCCGGCCCCAGGCUGGUUACUUGUCAGGCUGUGUUGCGAUGUGCUCCUGGGAGACCCGGCAGAUGUUUUUUGGAGCUGGCACCAAACUCUUCGUGGAGCCCCAAAGUCAACCUGCUGCCAGCCCAUCUGUUUUUGUCAUGAAAAAUGAGACAAACGUCGCUUGUUUGGUGAAGGAGUUCUACCCCAAAGAUGUAACUAUACAUCUGCAAUCAUCCAAGAAAAUAAUAGAAUAUGAACCUGCUAUUGUCGUCUCACCUGGGGGGAGGUACAGUGCUGUCAAGCUUGGUCAGUAUGGAGAUCCCGAUUCAGUGACGUGUUCGGUUGAACACAAUAAAAAAACCAUAAAUUCUACUGAAUUUGAGCCAAAGAAAACUAUUUCAGGAACUCCAAAACCAAUGGAACUUCAAAACAGCAAACAAACUUCAGAUUCAGAGACCUGCUAUGAGCCCCAAGUGCAACCCGGGAAGGUGAACAUGAUGUCCCUCUCGGUACUGGGGCUCCGAAUGUUGUUUGCCAAGAGUGUCGCCGUCAAUUUUCUCUUGACUGCCAAGUUAUUUUUCUUUUAAGGCUGACUGGCAAGAGAAGGCUGCAUUCCCUGAAAGAAACCAAAAGCCUGCAGAGGAACUAUCUCCUAGGCUUUCAACUUUUUGGUGAUUCAAGUUGACCCGUCCCAGCCUUGCUUAAAUGGCUGUUCCCCAAACUGGUUUUCUUUUAAAGGCAACAAACCCAGCUUAUCCUUCAGCCUGAUGAAAGAUAGAAGUCCUGAAGAGUGGGGGCUUAUGGCCCCAACUGUUUUAUAUGCUGCUUUAUAAAGGGAUAAGAGAUAUGAAGGUAUAUAGGGCUCAUUUUUUUUCCUAUGACUGACAUACUUUGAAAGUGGUGUUUUGUUCCUUUGACUUUCUUUGCCUUCAGAACUAGAAAGUGGGACCCAUCCGGUUCCCAGCUCCAUCUUCUAAGAGGAAAAAUAGAUCCUGGGGAAAGGAGAGUGGGUAUCCUUCUACCUAAAUGUAAAAGCCUCUGCUCAACCCAGCACUAGAUUUGCCCAAACUAGCGUUCUCGUCUACAAAGGCACUUUCUGCUUUCCCUAUUACUUGGCAAACAAAACUACACUUGACUCCCUAGUACUCUCUGUGUAAGCAAUGGGGUUUCUAAAGUCUCAUCUAAAUACUCUCAGAGCUAUUAGCAGAGAUCAGAGUAAAAUGCAGAGGAAAUGUGAUUUCCUCAACUUAACAAACAUGAAUUAUUGCAAGUUCCAGGCACUGUGCUGAGAGUGCAAAAAUAAGUAAGACAUGAGUCUUGCUUUCAAUCAACUCACUGUACAAGUAUUUCUGGAGGGAGGGAUAGGAAUGAGUCCCCAGUAUUUCCCUGUAAAACCAGAGUCUUCCUGACCCCUUGCCUGCCCAUCUGUGCAUGGGGCAUUUGAGGGCAUUGGAUCUUUGGUGUUGAUGGUUUUCUGCCAUUCUUCUUUGUCUCUGUUACAUUUAUUAAAGUGCAUUGUAUGUACCUUG